rnacentral:lncRNA from 1 species
GCCGUUUAGCCUUUGUCUUUCUUCUUCUGAAUUCUGAUUAGGAUGAUUGUUUUUUCUCAUUUUUAGGCACACUUGGAGGACCUGGCUGAGAAGGAUGCAACUGAGAAGUCUGAUGCUGCAAGGGAUGCUUUUCUGGCUGAACUUGCUCGUGAUUCUGAGAAGUGUUCAAGUGGGGGAAAUGAGAAAGCUAAACAUGCUCACGAAAAGACAAAGGACAAGAAAAAGAAUAAAGAGUAUCGAAGAGCAAAGGAUUCAAAGGUUUGAGCUGUGGGUCAAACUUUUGUAUCUGAAGCAGUUGUUUAUGUAUAAUGCUGGGGGGGUGUUCCAUUGGGGGAAAUGAGAAGUCUAAACAUGCCCAUGAAAAGACAAAGGACAAGAAAAAAAACAAAGAGUAUCGAAGAGCAAAGGAUUCAAAGGUUUGAGCUGUGGGUCAAACUUUGGUAUCUGAAGCAGUUGUUUAUGUAUAACGCUGGGAGGAGGUAUAACAUGUUUCCUCUUUCU